GGUACAGAGUCAAUGUGGAGGCUAUAUACAGGGUAUUACGGUACAGAGUCAAUGUGGAGGCUAUAUACAGGGUAUUACGGUACAGAGUCAAUGUGGAGGCUAUAUACAGGGUAUUACGGUACAGAGUCAAUGUGGAGGCUAUAUACAGGGGGUACCGGUACAGAGUCAAUGUGGAGGCUAUAUACAGGGGGUACCGGUACAGAGUCAAUGUGGAGGCUAUAUACAGGGUGUUACGGUACAGAGUCAAUGUGGAGGCUAUAUACAGGGGGUACCGGUACAGAGUCAAUGUGGAGGCUAUAUACAGGGGGUACCGGUACAGAGUCAAUGUGGAGGCUAUAUACAGGGGGUACCGGUACAGAGUCAAUGUGGAGGUUAUAUACAGGGGGUACCGGUACAGAGUCAAUGUGGAGGCUAUAUACAGGGGGGUACCGGUACAGAGUCAAUGUGG
rnacentral:lncRNA from 1 species